rnacentral:rRNA from 1 species
CCUACGGGCGGCAGCAGUGAGGAAUAUUGGUCAAUGGGCGCGAGCCUGAACCAGCCAAGUAGCGUGCAGGAUGACUGCCCUACGGGUUGUAAACUUCUUUUAUAAAGGAAUAAAGUGCGGCACGUGUGCCUUUUUGUAUGUACUUUAUGAAUAAGGAUCGGCUAACUCCGUGCCAGCAGCCGCGGUAAUACGGAGGAUCCGGGCGUUAUCCGGAUUUAUUGGGUUUAAAGGGAGCGUAGAUGGGGUGUUAAGUCAGUUGUGAAAGGUUGUGGCUCAACCGUAAAAUUGCAAUGGAGACUGGCAGGCUUGAGUACAGGUGAGGUAGGCGGAAUUCGUGGUGUAGCGGUGAAAUGCUUAGAUAUCACGAAGAACUCCGAUUGCGAAGGCAGCUUACGAAACUGCCACUGACAUUGAUGCUCGAAAGUGUGGGUAUCAAACAGGAUUAGAUACCCGAGUAGUC